UUCUGCAGAUGGCCUCAGGGAUAAAGCCUUGGUUCCCCGCCCUGGGGACUCCAAGUGGCCAGGUCUUUCCCAAUCCUCUAGGGGGCAGCACUCAAUAAAUAAUGCCCAUGCCACCAAAGGCCUCUACACGUGGUGAUGAGCUCCUGCCUUUUCAAAGGGCUUCGGCAGAGCAGGGAAAGUUCAAGAAUCAGGCUGUUCUUCUCUGGCCCACUCUGAGCAACAUCUCAUUGGUCUCUGGACGCUUAGACCUGCUUUCGCGUAGGGUUCCAGAGCAGAACCCAUGUGGCACGUGGAAAGGAGCUUUCUUAGAUGAGUUUUCCAGAACAUUCAUGGGAAAUCAGGGUUAUCCCAGCACUCUGCGACUUCCUCACUGGAACUCCAGUCCGUGAAGACACUGUCGGAAUCAGGAAUUGUGAAGCCAUUAAGAAAGUUGUGUCCUCCAGUCAGAGGUUGGGGUUCUACGGCUUACUUUCUCCGUAAAGCAAAGUGGUACCAUGAUUGGGAAACAGUCACCUACACUGGAAAGCCAGGCCUCCCAACUCCAAGAUCUGGACAAGAAGAAGGUGGAGCCUCAAGGACCUUAGGAGAUGAUACUGAUACCAGGAGGCGGCACCACCACUAAGCCCCAGGUUAUGAGUUGCUGACUUCUGGAUGCCUCGGUUUCCUCGUGAGUAAAAUAAGCAUAGAGACCUGAGGGAGCUCUGAGUGUCCAGUGUUCUCCAGAGGUUCCUGUGGUCUUGGCUGGCACUAGCACUGUGAGCGCAUCACAGCGCAGCCUCUCCCUGGCCACGCUCGUCUCGUCUCGUCUGCAUGCAGCAGAAGCCCCUUUGCCCUUUGCUCUUCUUAGGCGUCGCUAUGGAGCACUUAACUAUGAGAUCAGUGUUCUCAAUGUGUGGGUCUCAACUUCUUUGA